rnacentral:sRNA from 1 species
GAAUGAAGGUCGGGGGCCGCGAGGGUCGUAAAAGUCCGGCUAAGGUUGGUUGCUAAUUC